UCCAGGUGAUCGUCCUAUGGAACUGUGACAAGCCCCUCCCGGCCAAACACCGCUGGCCUGCCACCGCCGUACCUGUCCUAGUCAUAGAUGGGGAGAGCAAGGUGAUGAGCAGUCGUUUCCUGCCCUAUGACACAAUACCAACAGACGCCGUUCUGAGUCUGGACGAGGAUACAGUUCUCUCUACUACUGAGGUGGACUUUGCUUUCACGGUGUGGCAGAGUUUCCCAGA